UGUGACGGUCAUAUUAAAAAAUCUCUACUUAUCUGUUGAGAUUUUUAUUAAGAUUUUCAACUAUUCAUGCAAUGACACGUGUCCUUAUCCAAUCUUAUGAUUUAUUAUAUUUCCCCAUAAAAACCGCUUUAAACCUCCAGAUGCUCACACCAAGCCGCACCUCCUCUCCAUCCUCCCUACUCAUACAGCUCUCACUCUCCGCAAUUCUCCCCUAUCUUCUCGUCGAUUCUCACCUCCAUAUUCGUCUCUUGACUCCGGCUGUCCCUAUCAUACUCUCCGCAGUCCAUCAUCUGUGUCUCUCCAGCGGCUCCUUUGAUGAAGGUUGUUUCAGUAUUUAUAGGGAUGCUGGGUUUUUUGUGAAUUAGAAAAGGGGAUUUAUAAUUUAUAGUUGGUUUGUGAAAGAGAUAUAUCUCCUCAGCUAUCCAUCUCAUUUCAACCCCAUGGCUUCUCACACAAUGUCUUUGCCCUUUUUUUUUUUUGUUUUUUUUUGUUUUUUUUUUUGUUUUUUUUUGUUUCUUCUGUUCUUUUAAAUUGUGCUGCUGAUAUGUAAGCCAUUUGCGCAAGGAGACCAAUUUCGCUUGGGUUACAGAGUAAGGGGAGUUGGUUCGUGAAAUGGAAGGGUGAAAUGGAAGGGUUUAGGUUAAAGCCCAAAUUAUCAGUUCUCUCCAACUAAUUACUAAACAAUUAUACAUUUUUACUUUUGAUUUCCUACAGCUGUGAACUAUUUCACAUUUGCUUUCUUACAACUAUGAACUAAUUUCUUGCUGAUCCUUAUUUUUUGCUAGGUUUUCUUUGUUUCGCUGGGUUUCUUUUGCUAGGUUUUCUUUAACCCUUUGGAGUUUUGGGUCUGCUAACUAUUCGAAAUUGCUCAGUGUUUCUAGUUAGAUCUUUAGUCUUGUAACUUGUUACGUAUGCACAAUGACGAUUUGAUAUGCUUUCGCUUCUUCUUUGUUUGACUCUCUCUCAUUUGCGUAGUGUUUUAUUUUAAUCCUUCUCAGUUUCUAAUCCAAGGAUUUUCUUUCUUGUUUUGUAGUUUGUAGUUAAGUUAAUUAGAGGUUCCAAAAGAAGAAGUUGGUUUUAGUUUUGUCUUUCUUCCUUUUCUUUUGGCAAGAAGAUCAGAAAUAUGGCUGAGGAAGUCGUUUUAAGGGUAGUUCGAGCACUUAAAGGCUCCAUCCUUAGGCAAGUGAAGUUCUUGAGUGGUGUCAACCAUCAAGUUCUGGAUGCAAAACAUUAGCUAUUUUUUAUAGAGGGUUUUCUGAAAGACGUGAAUGCAAGACAAGUAGAGCAUGAAUCAGUAUGCAUUUUGGUCGAGUAUUUGGUGAAAGAAGAAAAACUCUACCGAGUUGUUUCCAUUUGAGGAAUGGGAGGAUUUGGAAAGAUCACUUUUGCAAAACGAGUUUAUCAUCACAGUAAAGGAUUUGGAAAGAUUACUUUGAUGGGUUUUCUUAGGUGUGUGUACUGAACAAUGUCAAAUAGGAAAGUACACACAUCCAAGAAAACCCAGACUUUCUUAUUUGACAUUGUUCAAUGCACACACCCAAGAAAACCCAUCAAAGUAACCUCUAACUUUACUGUGAUGAUAAACUCGUUUUGCAAAAGUGAUAUAUCCAAACCCUCCCAUUCCUCAAAUUGAAACAACUUGGUUGAGUUUUCUUCUUUCACCAAAUACUCAACCAAAAUGCAUACUGAUUCCUGCUCGACUUGUCUUGCAUCCACGUUUUUCAGAAAGCUCUCUAUAAAAAAUAGCUCAUGUUCUGCAUCCAGAAAUGGUUGACACCACUCAAGAACUUCACUCCCCUAAGGAUGGGGCCUUUGAGUGCUCGAAGUACCCUUAAAAUGACUUCCUUAGCCAUAUUUCUGAUCUUCUUGCCAAAAGAAUGGGAAGAAAACUAAAACCAACUUCUUCUUUUGAAACCUCUAAUUAACUCAACUACAUACUACAAAACAAGAAAGAAAAUUUCUGGGUUAGAAACUAAGAAGAAUUAAAAUAAAACUCUCCGCAAAUGAGAGAGAGUCUAACAACGAAGAAGCAAAAGCAUAUCAAAUCGUCAUUGUGUAUACGUAACUAGUUACAAGACUAAAGAUCUAACUAGUUAGCAGACCCAAAACUCCAAGGGGUCAACUUCAAACCUCCCAAGAUGAUUUUAGGAACUUGUACAUGAAACAAAAAAAAUACCCAAAACAAAAAAUGAAGCAUAUCACUAUGAACCAUACCCUAAUUAUCAGUUAAGAAAAGAUGAAAGUGAUAGGGUUUAUGUCAAAACCCCAAACAAAAGCCGUGUUUUCUCCAUUCACCUCUUUUCCCGAGGACUGUGAAAUACCAGUGGAACAAUUGACUUAAUUAUGGAUAGCUGAAGGUUUUAUAUCAGCAUCUACAAAUAAAAAGAUAGAAGACAUAGCAUAUGAGUGCUUAAUUGAGUUGAAACGCUUGUGUUUGGUUCAAGUUGGAAGAAUGUAUUCACUUUGCAAGUUCAAGUUGGAACGUCUCCAUGAUCUUAUUGUUGCGAGUUAUACAUUAGUUAAAAUGUAAAUAGUAGUUUAUUGUCCCACAUUGGUGAAGUACAUAUGUAAUACCAAUUGUAACUCCUAUAUAUACUCCACUUUGGAGAUUAAUGAAAUAUAAGAAAUUCCCAAAUAUUGUCAUAUAUAUUUUUGGUAUUUACCAUGUUUAGUUUAAUAUUGGUAUUUACCAUGUUUAGUUCAAUAUGGCAUCAGAGCAGUUCGCUCUUGGUGACUUGUGUGCUUUAAAUUUUGUGCCCACAUUUUUCGUGAUUUCCUCCGUGUGAAAAAAAAAAAAAAAAAGUGCCGUGAACAGUGAUUGGUAUUUGCUACAGUACCGUGAACAGUGAUUGCUACAGUCUCUGGUAAAUUGUUUUCAUUCCGCUGCGUAUCUUUUGUGCCUUUAUUGUUCGUGAUUUUGUUCAAUGGCUCAAUAUAAUCAUAGUGUUGUUAUGCAUCUUGGUGGAACAAAUAAAUGGAUAAUUGAUACUGGGGCCACUAAUCAUGUGACAAGUGACCCUAGAGUGUUUGAUGAGUUAUGUGAUUAUGUUCGUGAUCCGUAUAUUACUAGUGCAAAUGGAGCACUUUCCCUUGUGAAGGGUGAAGGCACUAUCUCUUUGACUCCAACCUUAUCACUGGUCCGUGCUUUACUUGUUCCUGAUAUUAAGUGCAAUCUUUUGUCGGUAGGAAAACUUCUUGAUACUUUAUAUUGUUCUGCUCACUUCUAUCCUACGUAUUGUUAUUUUCGAGAUAUUCAAACUUAGAAGAUAAUUGGUUAUGGUAAAAGGAUAGGGGGUUUGUACAUCUUGACUAUGGAGGAUACUGUUGUUUCCGGUUCAAAUAAUCAUCAAGUUUUAAGUGCUAAAGUGGAUAACAGACAUCAAAUUUGGUUGUGGCAUCGACGAUUGGGACAUCCAUCAUUCAGUUAUAUGAAGCAUCUAUUUCCUUCUUUGUUUCGCACUUGUAGUGAUUCAGAGUUCAAGUGUGAAACAUGUGUCAUGGCUAAGAGUCAUCGUGCUUCCUUUCCUGUAAGUGAUUCUAAAGCUACUUUACCAUUUGAUUUGAUACAUUCUGAUGUGUGGGGUCCUGCAAAAGUUACUUCUAAUGGAUUCCGUUGGUUUGUUACUUUUAUUGAUGAUUGUACUCGGGUAACUUGGGUGUUCUUGAUGAAAAAUAAGAGUGAUGUUCCGUUACUUCUUCAAGAAUUUUGUACAAUGGUAUCUACUCAGUUUCAGACCAAAGUUAAGGUCUUCAGGUCUGAUAACGGAGGAGAAUAUGUGAAUCACACUUUGGCAUGUUUUUUUCCGUGAUCAUGGUAUUAUUCACCAGACGACUACUCCGUUUACACCCCAACAAAAUGGUGUGUCCGAACGGAAGAAUCGUCAAAUAAUGGAGGUUGCUCGCUCCUUGAUGCUAGAUAAAUGUGUUCCUAAUCAUUUGUGGGGUCAUGCUGUUUUGGCUGCUGUGUAUUUGAUCAAUCGUGUUCCAAGUCGGGUUCUUGAUUUUCAGACACCGUUUGAUGUGCUACAAAAACAUGUUUCUCUUGUUUCUGUCUCAAAGCUUCCUCCGAAAGUGUUUGGGUGUAUUGCGUAUGUGCAUGUCUACUCUCAUCAGCGGAGUAAACUUGAUGCAUGUGCUCUCCGGUGUGUCUUUAUUGGGUAUGCUAACAAUCAAAAAGGCUAUAAGUGUUAUCAUCCUCCGACUCAAAAAACUUAUAUUACCAUGGAUGUCACCUUCCAUGAGGAAGUUUCGUAUUUUGUGAAGCCCUCUUCCGACUCUCCACUUCAGGGGGAGAGGGGGAGUGAAGUGCAGAUUCGAAGAGAUGAUAUGGAUGAUGUGUUACAGACAGAGUUGGGAACAGAACCUAUUAUUUUGCGUGAUACUAAUCAGUCGGCUACAGAUGAUCAGUUGCCUGCUGCGGAUAUAUCUGAUGAUCGGUUGCCUGCUGCUGAUAUGUCUAACGAGUUGCCUGAUGAUGGUUCGUCCAGUGAUGAUUCUUCUAACUGUUUGGUACAAGAUGGUGGCAUACAUGAGGUAAAUUCUGACGAUUCUUCUACUUAUCAGUUGCCUCCACGAGCUAAUCGUGGAAAACCUAAAAUACAAUAUGAGCCUGAUAUGCAUGCCAAAGCCAAAUAUCCUAUCAACAAUUAUGUGUCUUCUCAUCGUUUGUCCCAACCAUAUGCAUCUUACAUAUGUCAGCUAUCUAGUGUAUCAAUUCCAACAAAAUUGCAAGAUGCUUUGUCUGACCCUAAGUGGGUUAAUGCUAUGAAAGUUGAGAUGGAAGCUUUGGAAAAGAAUUCUACUUGGGAUUUGGUUCCGUUACCAAACGGGAAGAAAGCCGUUGGAUGUAGAUGGGUGUUUACUAUUAAGCACAAAGCAGAUGGUUCUAUUGAUCGGUAUAAAGCCAGAUUAGUUGCUAAGGGUUAUACUCAAACCUAUGGGGUGGACUAUCAGGAGACCUUUGCUCCUGUUGCCAAACUUAAUACUGUGCGUGUUCUUCUGUCCUUGGCAGCAAACCAGGAUUGGCCUCUGUUGCAGUUUGAUGUUAAGAAUGCUUUCCUUCAUGGUGAUCUUAAGGAGGAAGUGUAUAUGGAUCUCCCACCUGGUAUUGGAACAUCUCCUGGAAAAGGUAUUGUAUGCAGGUUACGAAAUGCCUUGUAUGGUUUGAAACAAUCUCCUAGAGCAUGGUUUGGGAGGUUUACAAGUUCAAUGAAGAAGUUUGGGUAUAUCCAGAGUCAUUCAGAUCAUACUUUGUUUCUAAAGCGACAAAAUGGUAAGCUAACUGCAUUGAUUAUUUAUGUUGAUGACAUGAUAGUGACUGGUGAUGAUCAAAAGGAGAUACAACACCUUCAAAAGUACCUAGCUACUGAGUUUGAGAUGAAAGAAUUGGGUGAAUUGAAGUAUUUUCUUGGAAUCGAGGUUGCACGAUCCAAGCAUGGUAUUUUUCUAUCUCAAAGGAAGUAUGUUCUUGAUUUGUUAGCUGAAACAGGUAUGUUAGAUUGCAAACCUGUUGAUACUCCGAUUGAGCAGAAUCAUCGUCUGGGCUUAUUUCCAGAUCAAGUUCCAACUCAUAAGGAACGGUAUCAGAGGCUUGUGGGGAGAUUAAUUUAUUUGUCUCACACUCGCCCUGACAUUGCUUAUGCAGUUAGUGUGGUAAGUCAGUUUAUGCACUCACCUAGUGAAGUUCAUAUGGAUGCAGUAACUCGUAUUUUGAGGUACUUGAAGAUGGCUCCUGGCAGAGGCCUGGUUUUCUCCAAGAAUGAUCAUUUGAAUGUCGAAGGGUAUACAGAUGCAGAUUGGGCUGGUUCUAUCACUGAUCGGCGAUCUACAUCUGGAUACUUUAUGUUUGUGGGUGGUAAUUUAGUUACUUGGAGAAGCAAGAAACAAAAAGUGGUGGCUAGGUCAAGUGCAGAAGCUGAGUUUCGUGGUAUGUCUCAUGGUGUAUGUGAGUUGUUGUGGUUGAAAAAAUUGUUGAGAGAUCUUGGGUUUAAACACAAAAGUGCUAUGAAACUUCAUUGUGAUAACAAGGCUGCUAUUGAGAUUGCUCAUAAUCCAGUGCAACAUGAUCGAACAAAACAUGUGGAGAUUGAUCGACAUUUCAUUAAGGAAAAAUUGGAUGCUGGAAUUAUUAUGUUUCCGUUUGUGAGAUCUGAAGAUCAACUGGCUGAUGCUCUUACUAAGGCUGUGUCUAAUAGUGCGUUUUCCGACUCGCUUGACAAGUUGGGCAUGCGUGACAUCUUUGCACCAACUUGAGGGGGAGUGUUGCGAGUUAUACAUUAGUUAAAAUGUAAAUAGUAGUUUAUUGUCCCACAUUGGUGAAGUACAUAUGUAAUACCAAUUGUAACUCCUAUAUAUACUCCACUUUGGAGAUUAAUGAAAUAUAAGAAAUUCCCAAAUAUUGUCAUAUAUAUUUUUGGUAUUUACCAUGUUUAGUUUAAUAUUGGUAUUUACCAUGUUUAGUUCAAUACUUAUAUGAGAGCAUCUUAGAGGCGAACUUCGUACAUUGUCAAUUGUUCUAGAGACACGGUAAAAGUAUGUUAUACUUUCUUGUAUUCAUUAAGCCUUUUCUUUUGUUUGGUAAGAUUAUUCUUGUUGUAUCCAUUAUUUUGAUUGGAAGAUUGAUCGCUGCCUAUGGACAUAGGCACAAAUUGACGAACCACGUAAAUCCUUGGGCCUCGUUUGGCAGCUCGGAUUGUACUAACUAUUUCUGUUGGAUAGGAUAAAUAGCCACCGGAUAGUAUUGAAUAAAUUAGUUGGACGUUUGGUGCAGUAUCAGAUUAAUGACCAUAUUAUUUAUACUGUGUUUGGUAUUGAACCGGAUAGGACAAGAGGAAAAAAAAAUUAAUUUGUUGAAAUUUUCUCAUAUUUAUACCUAUUGAAAACCACACAAAUUUUCAAAUAACAAAGAAAAAUAGUAAAUUUCAUACAUCAAAUUCAAAAUAUUUUCCAAUAACAUAAAAGAAGGUUCACAAAAAAACAACUACAAUCGUUACGUUAUAUAAUUCAACCACAUAUUCAGGUUCAUUAAAUAUACAAAUACAAGUUGGUUUCAGUAAGAAACAGUUUGUCCAGAUAGCCAAAAUAUAUGCAUGCUGCUUUUAACAAAAGAUAUGCAUGAUAUUUUUAACAAAACAUAUUGUUGUUGGUUUGAAAUGUCAAUUGCGGUUGUCCAAGUAACAUGAGUACGAAAGCUUUUUUCAUUGCACCAUCCAAAGACAAGAAUGUCCUCUCAUUCUGUGGCUUUUCAAAAAGAAUAUUUAGUGUCUUGAUUUGAUCCUCAAUAGAUAAGUCCUCUCAUUCUGUGGCUUUUCAAAAAGAAUAUUUAGUGUCUUGAUUUGAUCCUCAAUAGAUAAAUCUAUCUUUGACAAUUCUAAAGCAAUCUCAGGUUUUGGAUCCACUCAUUUCCCAAAAGCAGCUUGUAAAACUUCAUCCAACUUAUCCAUUGAUUUAGAAAGCAUUUCUUUAAAUGCCACAGGAAGAUCAUUAUCAUUAGCAACUCUCUUCCUUUUCCGGGUACUUGAACUGCCAGACCGUCGAGCAACAGAAGGAGAACUAGUCUCCACCUCAUCUUCAUCUUCAUCUUCAUUAAUGUGCGCAAGCUAAUUCAUCAUCUGAGUAGGAGUUGUAGCUCCUACUCCGGUUGCUCGGUCUUUCCCAAAAAUAACAUUCAAUCUGUCAUACAAUGGAAACGAUUUUCCUAGCCAGCCCUCUGCUUCUUUGUUAACCUGCAAUGGGAAAACAAAUCACAUUAUCCAUAAAAUACAAAUAAUCUUAUUUUGUUCCCUUCAACCUGUCUUAAUAUAAUCAAGCAUCCAUUAAUUUAAUUAAGCUGUCAUAAUGAAUGGGGCUAAAGGAUAUGGUUUGGUAGACACAAUCAUACUAUUAAAUUGUAUGUAAAGGAACAUGUUAAGUAAUCAAAUAUGUAAAGUUAAAUUCUAGUAUUAUGUUAGAGAAUUACGUUUGCAUAGGACCGCCAUACUUUAGUGCUAUCAACCUCAAUACACUUUCGUACAUCAUUCCAUGCAAAACCAGUUUUAUUAACCAUGUCAUAAACUAUUGCAUAAUCUUUUUUCCACCUCCUCAUUUUGGACUCAAUAUAUGGAACUGCCUUUAUAUUGGCAUUAGGACAUUUCAAAUUAAUAGUUGUUUCAAACUGAGCCAUUGUUCCGAGUUUGAAACAACCGUUAUCACAUCGCAAAUUCUUAACAACUGCCUCCUCAAGUAUGGACAACAAUGCAUCUUCUUCAUGUUGUUUCCAAACCCUUUUACUCCCUUUUGGUUGACUACUUUGUUCACUUUCCAUUCCUAUAAUUACAUACACAAUAAGAUAGCAUAUAAUCAACAGUGCAUAUAAUUAAUAGUAAGUGAUAAAAACCAUAAGCAGAUCAUCACACUUUUUAAAUAAAUACAUAACCAUAUCACACUUUGUUCAAAUAAAGUAUCAUAACCGAAUACAUAAGAAAUCACUAUUUGUUCAAAUAACAAACCAUAACCAAAUGACAACAUGCAUAUGUAAGAAAAUUUAAUCAAAUCACACUUGUGCACGCCACUCAUUGUACAUAUUCAUAGCCAAAGUGUUUCUCCAUGCAGUCCAUUCUUGUGUAGGUUGAACAGUCUCAAUCAUAUCUUCAUCAUCAUCACUACUUUCAGAUUCGUCCAUGUUUAGAAUUUCAUUUUCUAUCGGAUCAGCUGACAUAUGCCUUCUAAUAAGAUUAUGUAAGAGGCAGCAGGCUGUCAUAAUCCUAAGUUGUGUUUUAAUUGGGAAAAAUGAUGGACCUCUUAAGAUGCUCCAACGCAUCUUAAGUAGUCCAAAACAUCUCUCAAUGACAUUUCUAGCUUGAACAUGUUUCAUAUUGAAAUACUCCUCAUGAUUAAUUGGGAGUCUUCUAUUUCUCCACUCCGAGAGAUGGUAACGCACUCCCCUAUACGGUGCAAGGUAUCCUGGACCAUUUGUGUACCCACCAUCCACAAGGUAGUAACACCCUAAAACACCAAAAAAUGUAUGUUACUAUAUAUAAGAAAAUUGAGGCUUCAAAUUACUAAUAUAAACAAAUAAUCUAUUGUUGCCCGUGGGAACUUUUAAUCCCGAUGGUCUACUUAUCGCAUCUCGGAGUACUCUAGAAUCAAAGGCCGACCCCCUGGGUACACAAAUAUAAAAUUCAUGUCCAGAUUACAAACUCCCAACAUAUUGGUCGCAAUCUCCCCCUUCCUUGAUCGGUAUCUUGGUUUAUCUCGCUUAGGGACAUGAACGUUAAUGUAAGUCCCAUCCAAUGCCCCCAAGCAAUUCUAAAAAAAAAAAUCAUUAACAUUAGUAAGCUCAAUAUAUUUAAUUACAUUAAUUUUAGAAGUAAUUUUUAUAAAAUAUGAAGAAUACCUCAAACCAACUCCAUUUAGGAUUUGGGUAGGCAUUAGGAAUGGGUUUUGGCACUUUCAAAAGUCUACAUUGUAGCCUUAACACUCCAUGUAGAAUGGAAUUGAAAUACCUACUUAUGGUCUCCCCUGAUCGACAAAACCUACUCCCAAUUGUACGAUUCUUGACAUGAUGUGCAAGUAUAUGCAAAAACAUGCAAACUUGUUCUUCCAUUGUCACUACACCAUCCAAUUUUACUCUAUCGUGGUCACGAAGCAUUUGACAUAAAUAAUGGAACGUUCUUCUAUCCAUUCUAAUUUGGUUCACACACUGAACAUCAUCAUAUCCUAUUAUGCUGUCUAAAUAGGCUGACCCUACCAUUCUCCUAACAAAUGUGCAAUUUCUAAGUGCAAGUUGCCAAUUCCGCCUUCUAGCUGAAUUAUGAUUCAUCAUGAACCACAUCAUCAACCAAGUCACAAUAUUCAAGUACCACAACUUAACAAUGAAGCAUGCACAAUCUUUCUUUCAUCCAUGUCUAGUGAAAAUAUAAAAUAACAUUAUUAGAUAGUGGCAAAAAAUUAAGUAACUGGAGCAUGAAGUCAUAAUAACACUGAAAACGGAAGGAAGCAUGUUAAUAAGUCCUACCAAAAAAUGUCAUAGGCAGAUAAUAAAUCCUACAGACUGUUGGGGUGAUCAGAAGGAAAAAUUACAAUGAAAUCAGAAAGAUGUCUUGACAUUCAUCAAUCAAGGAAGCAUGUUACGAAUCGAAUUCAAAAAAUCAAAACACCAAGUUCCGGAGAGAAAAGAAGUCUAGUCUAUGAUGACACUUUGUACGACCUCAAAGCAUUAUAUAUUCAUCACCUUAUGUUGCAUCAAAAUUGAGUGUCAUGUUGCAUCAAAAUUAAGCCGAAACAUUAGAAGAGCAGCAACUCUCCUUUUCUUCUCUAUUUCUCACUCACACUCUUUUUCUAAAAGGCAAUUACUUUACAAAGUGGAAUAAAUGCCAAUCAACAAUUCAACAACCCUAGUCCGAAAUUAUUCACACACACAUAUAUAUAUCCAGAUAAAAAGUAAAAUUCACAUAAAAAUUAAAAAAUGGAUAAAAGCUGAGAGGGAGUGAUGCAAAAAUUGAGAAGAACAGCAAUUUAUUGGGAUCUAAUUUUCGGGCCAUAGACGGUGAUGGGGAGUGAGAGAGAGAGAGAGAACAAGAGCGAAGAGAAAUUGGCUUACCCAGUUGUCCGUAUGGUUGCAUUGCAGCUGCGAGACAGCGAGUGAAAUGAGAGCUGCGCCAGAGACAAAGUUUUGUUUAGGUAAGUGAACAUGCACACUCCCACUCUACCCAAUCACUAAAGUUCUAAUUAAAGUUCAACAGCAACAACAAACCCUAAAUUCGACCCUAAUAGCAAACCCUAAAAUUCAAAAAUUCUAAUUAAAACACAAAAUUACAUAAUCAAUUGCAUAAUUAGAGAGAAAAUAAUAACUAGAUUCAAUCAAUUGCAAGAAAAAUAGGAGGGGGAAAAGGGAGGGGUGGAAUCCCAGAAGAAGAAAAGUAAAAGAUGAACUGUGAUUCAAACGAAGAAGAAGAAUUUGAGAAGACGAACCUGGGAUGAGAGCAAGAGUGCGUCUGGAGAGCAAGAGUGCGUCUGGAGAGGAAGAGAUAGCGUCUGGAGAGGAAGAGAGAGCGUCUGGAGAGGAAGAGAGAGCGCCUGGAGCGGAAAAGUGCGUUUGGAGAGGAAGCAGAAGAAGAGUGCGUCUGGAGAGGAAGGGGAAGAGUGCGUCUGGAGAGGAAGAGAGCCCGACUAAGUUAUACCAUGAAAUUGGAUGGUUUAAGCAAGCGGGUAAACACCAUGUAAAAAAGGUGGGCCCGGAUUAUUUAAUCUGGUGCCUAUUUAAUCCAAACAGCCACCAAACACCGUACACCGUAUUAUUAGUACUAUCCGGUGCCUUAUACAAUGUGCCAAACAGGGCCUUGGUGUCCAUCUUGCUACUGUACUUUGUGUUUUCUCUAUCCUGUAGUACUAUCAAUCUUAACAGUCUAGGUACAAUAACGAGUGAGCGUGUUAUUUUAUGAGCAUUGACUAUAAUUUAUAUGGAAACAACUCUUGGAUUUCCCUAUUAAAAUAGGAAACUAACACGCAAUUUCAAUCUAACUAUGUGUGUUAAGUAUCAUGAUUCAUUUAAAGUUUCAAUCCCAAACUAAUUAGGACAACAUUAAACUCUUUAUUAAGAUCUUUUCAUACCAAUUUGAAACACUAUAUUAGUCCAUAUAAUUGGAAAUCUAUCUAGUCAUUUAAGAAAAAGAAAAGGCCUAAUUGGAUAAAUGGUCCCCGUGGUCAUAAGGUAUUCGGAUGAUAGCCCCUGUGGUAAAAAAAUUCGGAUUUAAACUCCUGUGGUCUAAGUCUGUUAGGAUUUAAACCCCUGUGGUCUAAGUCUGUUAGGAUUUAUGCCAUUCUGUUAAAUAAUGCUAACGUGGCUGCCACAUAUAUGCCACGUGGCUGCCAAAUGUCUGCCACGUGGCAAAAAAAAUAAUUUUUUAUUUUUUUUAAAAAAAACCUGAAUUUUUACAAAAAAAAAAAAAAAACCAGAUCUGCAAGAAGAAGAAGACGGAAGAGGGAGAGGGAGGAGGGGGCGAGGAGAGGGCUCCGGCGAGGGGGAGCUGGUCUCCGGCGGGAAGAAGAAGAAGAAGAAGAAGAAGGAAGAGGGAGAGGGAGGAGUCGCGCGGGGAGACCGGCGGGAAGAAGAAGAAGAAGGAAGAAGGAGAGGGAGGAGGGUCGCGCGGGGAGAGGGCUCCGUCGGGGGGGGGAGCUGGUCUCCAGCGCGAAGAAGAAGAAGAAGAAGAAGGAGAAGAAGUCCGGCGGGGUGGGGGAACGGGUGGAGGGCGGGGGGGGGGAGUUUUCUGGGUUUCUGGUUUUUUUUUUUUUUUUUUUUUUUUUGGUAAAAAUUCAGGUUUUAAAAAAAAAAAAAUUAUUUUUGCCACGUGGCAGACAUUUGGCAGCCACGUGGCAUAUAUGUGGCAACCACGUCAGCAUUAUUUAACCGAAGGGCAUAAAUCCUAACAGACUUAGACCACAGAGGUUUAAAUCUGAAUUUUUUUACCACAGGGGUUAUCAUCUGAAUACCUUAUGACCACGGGAACCAUUUAUCCGAUUAGGCCAAAAGAAAACCAAUCCCUCUGUGGGAAGGAAACAAAAUUUAAUUUCAAGGUUAGCGACGCUUAUGAACUUGUGGAACGAGAGAUGUGCACAUCCCUCUCCAAUCAAAACAAUAAGAAAUGAAUGCAAUCAUUAACAAACUACACGUAUCAACGAAAUAAUACGUUUUAGCGGUCGAGUGAUAUUUUUAUUUCAACAAGCCUGUGGAGCCUGAUCAUCUAUUUACACACUACUAACGCUUAUUCCUCCAAGGGUAAUACUACUUCUCUCUCAUCCCAUGCUAUGUACUCGUUCCCAUGAUUUGGGACUUGCAAGAUGCUAGACACUUUUUUAAUACAUACGAUAUUAUCUGCAUUAAAGAAUAAAGGAGUGAGCUAAGCCUGAUAAUGGAUUAACCAUAAUAACUUGGUUCGAAUUUACUUUUGGGAAAAUUAAACAUAAGACAUCUCACAAGAAAAGAAGAAUACCAUAAAAUACCACUAGACUGUAAUAACAUAAGAGGAAUGCAAGACAAACAUAAAAGGGAAUGCUGGCAAUGACUCAUCUAAGUGCACUUAAUGUUGUUUUUAUCCUUUUAAGUGGUUCACGUAUUGUCCACGUGACAAAUAUAUACAUAACUUCUGAUGCAAUGUUGAGUGAUAAUUUAGCAACGGAGAGGUUGACACGACUGAAAUAAAACUUCAACAUGACUGAAAUAAAAACUCCAUGUAUUUUUUACUGAAAUAAAAACUCCAUGAAAAACCUAACACGAACUUACAAGUUUGGCAAAUAAAUGGACAAAAAAACCUCUAUGAAGGUUGAAAGAUCAAUAUUCAAAUUGUAUGUAUUCCUUUCUUUUUAGUGGCAUUUCCAAUUAGGGGUGGGUUCGGUUCGGUUUUUUGUCAAAACCGAAAAUCGAACCGAAAUUACUGUUCGGAUCAAUUUGGUUCGGUUUUCUAUUGGUUUGUAUUCAGUUCGGUUUUUUUGGAUCCAAUUUCGGCCCGGUUUGAUUUUUUUUUUUUUUCCAAUAGCAAAAAAAAAGUCCUAAGAAACAUAAGCACCCAAAAUAUAUGAAUAAUACUAUUGAAGAUGACUUCUCCAACAUGAAACGACCAUCAGAAAUUCCAGCCCACGUCUCUGCAAAGGUCAUAACAUUACAGCAAGGUUAAAGAUGUGAGUCCCAAACUUCAACACAGUCAUGGCAAUUUGAUCUCAUUGAGUUUGAACUUGAGCUUGAGGCCCUUGAGACCUUUGACACCAUUGACUUCAUCUAAUUCACACAAAAUAAUAAGAGGAUAAAUGAAAUUGAACAACACUAAAUUUAAAAUACAAAAAUAGUAGGUUUCCAUAUUCAUGUCCAUGCUUUCCAGAUUCAUAUAAAAAUAUUUUUCAAUUACUAUAUAGAGUGUAAUGCUCCAGAACUCCCUAAUUCCAUAUUGACAAACAAAAUCAGAAGGCCUACCAUCAACGUUCAUCACAAAAUCAGAAGGCCUACAAUUACUAGUUCUAAGUUCUAAGUUCUAACAUAGUAGACACUGCAAACCAACCAAUAACUAGUUCUAAUCAAUAACAGGACACUCCAUAGAGUGAACUUGGGCAAAAUAUAUGCAUCAAAAUCUAAAGAACCAAUGAAUAAGAAAUUGACAAACUGGGAAGCAAGCUGACCUCAACACAAAUUUUCAUCACCAGUGCAGAAAAAUAAGCUCAAAAUGCAGCAAACAUCAAGUCCCAAACUUUAACAAGUUAUGAGAACCAGUUCUAUGAAAGCACACAUUACGUCCCAAACUUUAACAGGUUAUCAAACAGGUUCAUAGCAGAUACUUGGAAAUCUAAUGGGGUUCAUAAAAAAACUAUAGUUAUACGCUAUAAAUCACGGAAUUUGUUGCCAAACACAAUGGUUUCGACAGGGUUAGAAACUUAGACAGCACUUUUACUCGUUGGGGUUGGCAAAUUUUUCCCAAUCUUGCCUAACUUUCACAAUCAGUUCAACAAGAAAAAGGCAAACAUAUAAGAGAUCCAGAGGAACAAAGAUGGAUGUUUGGUGUGACCUCCAUAUGAAUCCCAGAGUAUAAAACUAUUUGGCAUGUAUUUGAAAGGUAGAGAUCGAAAGUUUAUGUAGAAAGCAAGGAAUAUUAGAAGGGAGUGAAGUUGUUGUAGGUGAGAGUCCAUAGAGAGAGUCUAUCAGACGAGGAGUAGAGAGACAAGAGGCGUAAGAUUUGGAGAGGGAAAACAUGGGGAUUGUCAAGUAAAUUCAUCACAAACCCUACGCCUCUUGUGGUAAUCCUUUGAAAAUGUAAGAUCCAAAUUACAACCAUGGACUUGGCAGGUUGGAGAGAGGAAGAGAGGAAGGAGAGAGAGAGAGACUGAGGAAGCAGAGAUGAAGAAAGCAAUGAAUGGGAGAGUGUUUGAAAAUGAAAAGGGGUGACGGUUCGAUUCGGUUCGGUCCAGUUUUCAGACCUUAAAAAUCGAAACCGAACCAACCAAAUUCGGUUCGGUUUGGUUUAACACAUUCGAUUUGGUUUUUUUCGACCUCGAUUCGGUUUGGUUGUCAGUUUUUUUCGAUUUUCGGUUUUUCCAACCCACCCCUACUUCCUUCAUCCAAAAUCCUCUCUCUCGUCUGUCGUCUACUUUUAAAUGAUUAAUUUCUCACAAGAGUAAACUGUCAAUUUGCCCCCUGAACUAUCACCCAACUUUCGAUUUGCCCCCUGAACUUUUUAAUUGGAAAAUUAAGGACUUAAACUAAUUUUUUUGGCCGAUUUCCCCCCUACCGUUAGUUUUUCAUAAAUUUCAUUCAAAUUAACGUUAACUCUUAUCAUGUGCAAACCACGUAACUCUCAUUUGUGGACAAAAGCGUCAUUUCACUAGACCUUCAAACAGAAAAGCUAUAGAAUCACACAUAUUUGCAUAGGUUUAUAUUUUAGAAAUCUAAGGUUUUCAAUUAUUUUAAAGAAUGAAGUGACCGAACUACCCACACAUGUUGUGCAUAUGCUUCCAUUUAACAGAAAUUUGGAUGGAAUGAAUGAAAAAUUAACAUCAGGGGGCAAAUCGGCCAAAAAAAUUAGUUUAAGUCCUUAAUUUUCCAAUUAAAAAGUUCAGGGGGCAAAUCAAAAGUUGGGUGAUAGUUCAGCGGGCAAAUCGGCAGUUUACUCUUUCUCACAAAAUUUACAGAUAAUAUUGUUAAAUCGAAUCGGAGCGACGCAAUCUGUGAAGAUAGCUCUUCAGUUGACGUCCAUCAUCCCCCUCAUCAUCCUAAUUUCUCUAUGCCUGGUUGCCCCUCUCAUCCACGCCAAGGACGUCAACUAUUGCGGUGGGUUUCUCACACUAACCGUUUUCUCUUUUCCUUUAAUUUAUGAAAGCAUGAUACUUUCCUUUCGGAACAAGUUUUCAAUUCUCUGUUUGUUUCCUGAGAAAAUUGCAAAUUUUCCACCUUACAGUAAUUCAACUAAUUGCUUCAUUGUUUGUAGUCAAAUACGAUUUGGGCUCUUCUGUUUUUGAUACAAUCACAACAAGAAGGAAUCUUUACUAUGUAUAUGCAUCUACACUCUCUAGCUGAUUAGACAAAGUCAACAUCUUUGAUAUGUAUUUGCAAUUUCAAAUUGUUUAAACAAAAAUAUAAAAUUUGGGUUUUGUUUCUCUUUCGAUAGUUUUGGUAUUGGAUUUAUGUAUUCAAUCGAAUGGUAUUUCGGUGUCGAAUUUUGUUAUGGUUUGUUUGGUUCUUGUUAUACUGAUGUUGGUUAAAUGAAACUUAAGCGGAUUUUGGAGUAUCUUCGGAUUGUAGGAAGUGUAGAGCGAUGGAAAUACUUAACAAGUUUAUGAGAAAUCUAAGUUUCUACAGCAGAGCUCUUGUAUUACUUCUUAUUGUAACUCUCUUGAUACAAAAUGAUAUGCCAAAGGCUAUAUAUAUAGUGAAUACAAAGUACUAGAGAGUUCUAACUAGAAAGUUCUUCCUAGAUAACUUAACAGACAUAGGCUAGGAACAAUGACUCUAGAAUAAUUGUUCUUGGGAAAGUCUAGAGUCUUAACAUUUAGGAGAGUGCAUUAAUUCCAACCCAGAUAAGAAGGCUGACUAUGAUGUCAAGGUCUCUGCGGUUGAGAUUAAUCUUUACCCCGUGGCAAGAGGCAAGCUUGCCAGCUUCAGCAUUUCUGAAACUGCAGGUUCUAUCUCACACUUGUAACUUUUUGAGUGAGUUUUUGUUUGCAUGUAAUUGUUAUUAGAUAAACACAAAAACGAAUCAGAUAAUCCAACACUGUUUGAAGAGCUUUUGGGAAUUUAGUUUUAACUAGAGUAAACUCGUAUAUGUGGUAAUAGGUGUAUCAAUCUCUUGGGGGAAAUUGGUGAUUGAGGUUUCAUACUUUGGUUGGCACAUCCACAGUGAGACUCAUGACCUUUGCCGCAGAAACAUCUUGCCCAGUUUCAACCGGUGAUUUUGUGAUUGCCCACUCGCAAGAUUUACCAGGAUAUACUCCACCUAUAAGUCCUCCUUGCCAUAUCUACUUAUUAUAUUAUUUUGGCUUUUAGUGCUACCCGUGAGUUGUCCCUACAAACUUGAAUAAGCCUAUGAGUUUAGUUGUUGGUUUCUGUUUUGACCAAUACAAAGUUUAAGUUGAUCCCGCCUGAAUUUUUUGAAUAGAAUGAAAUAGUUUAUGCUUAACUGUUAGAUUGUCACAUUAGAAAAAGGAUGAAAACAGCCAAAGGUCGUAUUGUAAGUAAUACAAAGGUGCAUUUUUCACGUUUGGGUCUGCUAACUAUUCGAAAUUGCUCUGUUUCUAGUUAGAUCUUUAGUCUUGUAACUUGUUACGCAUGCAAAAUGACGAUUUGAUAUGCUUUCGCUUCUUCAUUGUUGGACUCUCUCUCAUUUGCGGAGUGUUUUAUUUUAAUCCUUCUCAGUUUCUAACCCAAGGAUUUUCUUUCUUGUUUUGUAGUCUGUAGUUGAGUUAAUUAGAGGUUCCAAAAGAAGAAUCUGGUUUUAGUUUUGUCUUUCUUCCUCUUCUUUUGGCAAGAAGAUUAGAAAUAUGGCUGAGGAAGUUGUUUUAAGGGUACUUUGAGCACUCAAAGGCCCCAUCCUUAGGGAAGUGAAGUUGUGUCGCCGAUCAAGUUCUGGAUGCAGAACAUAAGCUAUUUUUUAUAAAAGGCUUUCUAAAUGACGUGGAUGCAAGACAAGUAAAGCAAGAAUUAGUAUGCAUUUUGGUUGAGUACUUGGUGAAAGAAGAAAAACUCAACCAAGUUGUUUCCAUUUGAGGAAUGGGAAGGUAUGGAAAAAUCACUUUUGCAAAACAAGUUUAUCAUCACAGUAAUGUUAGGGGUUACUUUGAUGGGUUUUCUUGGGUGUGUGUACUUAAUAAUGUCAAAUAGGAAAGUCUGGUAAGAAAUUUUAAUUGGACUUACUUCUGACACCAUGAGCUAACACAAAAUAUUGCAAAAUACUGAAAUACUUGAGAAACUUUGCAUCAUCCAACGAGAAAGGAAAUGUUUGGUGGUGUUUGAUGACAUUUGGAGUUGUGAUGCAUGGAACUCUUUGAAAUCUGGAUUUCCAAUUGAUGCAGAAAUAAAAGUCAAAUACUACUCACCACCCAUUGCUCAUAAGUAGCUCCAUGUGUAGACAGAAAUGGUUUGAAUCACAAAUCUCGUCUACAAAGUAAAGAUGAAAGCUUUUUGAGAAGAUAGUAACGUAGUGUACAAGUAAUUUCACACUCAGCUUUGCUAUGCUUUCUAGUUUUAUCAUUGUUUUGUUUUUUGCCUGUGGAAUAUGCUUAGUUUUCUUAUUUAUUAAGCAAGCUUGUUUUUUAGUCUAGAAUCAAUUUAGCCUUAUUAAUAGAUAUUCCCAAAUGAGUUUUUCUUGAUAAAGAAUAGAGGAAAAUGAUACAUUAGAGGAUGGGCGAUGCACUUCAUCGGGCAAAUUCAUCCAGCUUCUAGCAAAUGGCACACGUUCAUAAUUGUGGCAACAAAUUACUUCACCAAAUGGGUAAAAGCUUCAGCUGUGAAGACUAUCACUUCAACUGUAGUCAAGAAAUUCAUUGAAUCCAAGAUCUUACACAUAUUUGGAGUGCCCGAAAUAAUUGUCACAGACCACGGGCCAUCUUUUAUUUCAAAAGUAGAGGAGUUUACGAAUAAGUUCAAAAUAGAGAUGGUUCAGAUCAGUCCUUACUACCCCCAAUCAAAUGGCUAAGCAGAAGCCAGCAACAAGAUCAUGGUAAACAUUAUUAAGAGAAUGGUGGCCGAGAAAAUGGCAUGAGAAGUUGGGAGAAACUUUGUGGGCUUACAGAACUUCCAAGAAGGCAACAACUGGAACUUUCGGGCAAGAUGUUGUGCUCCCUAUGGAGAUUAAUGUAAGUUCUGUCAAAAUUUUAUAUCAAUUCGGGCUACACAGUGAAUAGUACAUUCAAGCUAUGUGUCAAGGAGUUGAAGAUCUUGAUAUAGCCCGAAUUGAGGCUCUAAAUAAAAUUCAAGAGGGGAAGGAAGUUGUUGCUCGAGCAUACAAUAAAAAUGUGAAGUUGAAAAACUUCAAAAAAGGAAAGUUAGUAUGGAAGGCAAUUCGCUUGAUUUUGGGAAGUGGAGCUCAACUUGGGAAGGUCUUUCCAUUAUUCACCAUGUAUUGGACAAAGGGGGAUAUUACUUGGCAGAUUAGGAAGGAAGCUUACAUAAACAUCCAAUUAAUGCUAAAUUCUUAAAGAAAUAUCACCCAACCUUGUGAGAUGUUAGAGAUUGUUACAUUGAUGAAGUGUAGGCAUUACAUGGAAUCUAAAGGCAGUCCCGGGCUCAUCAUUUUUAGGUCUCAAGAAAAGAAGGCAAGCCAAAGUAAAUUGAAGAAGUCAUUUUUAUUUCAGUACAUGUUGAAGAUUACAUCAAAUUUAGCUUAAUAGUUUUACAUCCUUGACUAGGGCAUCUAUCCUAGAAUGGUGGGUUUGCAUUUUGCCUGACUCUUCUUAAAAAUUGCUAAUAUUUCCUAAAUAUGUUCUAGUACAUCCAACUUCCGUUUGUUGUCUUAAAUUCUUCCAAUCUUCGGAACCUUCAAGCCCGACCAAGUUGUUUUGGCCGAUAGAGUCAUGGUAGUUGAUCCUGAAGCAAACACCUAUGAUGAUGAAGUGAUCAAGAAAGCAAAAGCUAUGGGGAAGUUUGGGCUUAUGGAUAACAGCACGAGUAGGAUCUACCGGUGCGAUUAAGGUUGCUCGGUUACUUUUCAAAGCCACAUAAGUCCUGAAACGGAAGCUUGAAGCAGUGCGCCUUUCUGAAGAUAUUAUAAAAGAUGGUUUCUCAUUAGGAAUGUUGUUUCCAACAGCAAUUGAGACCUAAUAAGUCCAUGCAGGUCCUAAGCAAAGUACUCAUCCCUUUUUGAAGAAGAGUUCAGUGUGGAGGCCUACCUGAGGACGAUGAAGGCCGUUAAGAGGACAGUUCAUGGUAGAAAUCCCCUCACCAGUCUCGCAGGGAGAUUAAACCCAAGCCAAUAUGGGUACCAUUAGGAAAUUUGAGGCAAAGGUGGGAAGAAAUAAAUUUGGAGCCAAGGGAGAAGAGUUGAAGAACAAGAGGAAUUCUUGAAGAAUUUGAACUAUGGGAGUUCUAAAGAGUUGUGAAAAUUCAAAGGCUUGAAAUGGUUAGGAUAUUCUGCCAAAAAGAUCAAGUAAGGAUUAUAUAUAGAGGAAUGGUUGAGUAACGGUAGUGUUCGUGGGGAAGUGUAAAGGGUUUCAGGUAAACGAAUGGUUGCAUUAAAAUGGCACAAGUUCCGAGUAGGGGCGUGCGACGAUAGCGGCUGUUCAAUCAUCAUUUACGCCUCGGUUUGCAGGCUCAACAACGAUUGAAGGGGGCACUAUUUGGGUUAAUAUUUAAAUUUUGGGCCUAGAGGAAAGAAAGCCCAAAAGAACUAAGAAAUGAGACUCGCCUGAGGCCCAGCGCCCAUCCAUCUAUCUUAAGGACAAUAUGACGGUCCCUCAUUAAUGCAAAAGAUAGGUGCUUACAAUAUGUCUAGAUAACCUUAUUUUAAUAUAGUAGUUUAAUUCAAUUAACCAAUAAGUUAAGAGAACAAACUUAAAAAUAGUAAAUUAUUGAGGGGCUAUAUUUAGCCCUUUUCGGUUGGAGAUGAUAUAUAAAUAUAGCCGGACAUUGUUCAUUUAAAAAUAAUAUUUUGGAAGACUAUAAUUAUGGACAGGCAACAUUUAACCCUUUCGGUUGAAGAUGGUCUAACAGCAAUUUUAGUGUAGUAAGGCCCUUCUAGGCAAUGGCCAAACUGUGAACACUAACUGUCUUGUAAAUCUUCACCCUAUACUAAAUAGUCCAAACAAUUCUUAUUAAAAUAUUAGUAUUUUUAUAUAAACUAAUAAAAAUAAUUUUAUUUUUAAUUUCAUAUAGGAAUUUUAACUGAUCUGGUCAGGUCAUGUGUCAUUGUCCGAAAGUCUAAUGUUUAUGGAUAGAUUUUCGAUAAGAUUUUUAACCAAUUUUUCUCGCGUCACAUGUUACUAGAAUCAUUGAAGAUAUAUUUUCGAUAAGAUUUUUAAUCAAUUUUGUUACGUCACGUGUCACCAUCUGUUUAAAAACCUUGAGGAUAGAUUUCAAUAAGAUUUUUAAUCAAUUAUGUUACGCCACGUGUCACUAUCUGUUUAAAAACCUUGAUAAAUUUCAAUAAGAUUUUUAAUCAAUCACGGUGUGGCAGGUGAUUAAAAUCACUCAGAAUUACGUAGCAAAAUUAAAAUCACUCAGAAUCCUUCUCUAUAAUGAGUAAGAAAAAUAAUUGUUUGAGCAAGAGAGAGAAACGUUUGAUCUCCACGAGGGAGAAAAUGUUUGAUCUCCAUCUUUUCAUUUCUCAAAUCUUCUGUUCUCUCUCAACCAUUUAAAAGAAUGGAGUUUUAACGAAAAGUCCGCGGUACUGUUCAUUUUAACGAAAAACCAUAUUUUUACACUAAAAAGUCAAUCUUGGUACUAUUCAUUUUACCCUUUAUUUUGUCUUUAUCAUUCAAACUCAAAGUUUUCAAGCUCUUUUCAUUAGUUUUCCUUUAAAAUGAUUCUUCAGAAUCCAAAAUAAAGAUCCAAUCUGAGCCUCAGUGAAAUCCUGCAACCCAUCGAUAAUGUAAUCUGAAUCCAUCCAUUCUCGCCGACCCUUUGCUUCUACCAGAGGAAGCUUAAACGGUACUUUCUUUCCUCCCUCUCUCAUUUCUUAGUUGGUUUGUUUUCUUUUUUUUUUUUUUUUUUUUUUUUAAUUUUUUUUAUCUUAAGCCAUUUGCGCAAGGAGACCAAUUUCGCUUGCUGGGUUACAGAGUAAGGGGAGUUGGUUCGUGAAAUGGAAGGGUUUAGGUUUAAAGCCCAAAUUAUCAGUUCUCUCCACCUAAUUACUAACCAAUUAUACAUUUUUACUUUUGAUGUCCUGCAACUGUGAACUAUUUCACAUUUGCUUUCUUACAACCAAGGUUUAAAAUAUCGAUGACAUCGGAAAUAUCGGUAGUCUUAAAAACACGAAAAUUUCGUUCGAAAUAUUGGGAUAUUAUCGAUGUCGAUAAAAAUUGAAUAAAAACCAAGGAAAUUGUAAGAAAAACUUGGAAAUUUUUAUUGAAACUUUGCAGAAUGUUUAUUUAGUCAAUUAUCUAUUAGUUUAUCACAAAAAAUUGGAAGGAAAUGCAUUGCACGAUGGAUUUAACUUAUUUAAGUUGAUUAUAUAGCGAGCUGGCAAACAUUGUAAGUGUAAAAAAUAUGUAGUAAUUAAUGAAAGAAGUUUAAACAUACCAUAAUCAUUUAUAUAUAAUGAAUUAGUACAAUAUUUUACACUUUAUACAUUGCAUGCUAAGAUACAUGAGUGACUUAGUAUCACAUAGAGUUCAUAUCAAGGUCUAAAAUAUCGAUGAUAUCAGAAAUAUCGGUAGUCCAAAAACACGGAACUUUCGAUGGAAAUAUCGGGAUAAUAUCGAUAUUUUAGACCUUCCUUACAACUAUGAACUAUUUUCUUGCUGAUCCUUAUUUUUUGCUAGGUUUUCUUUGUUUCGCUGCGUUUCUUUUGUUCUCAAUCUUGUGUCAGCAGCUUCCGUCACCCGGGAAUUGGUAUGUAUAAAUUUACUUCUUAUUUCAUUCACACAAUCAAUACAGUAAUGCAUUUUUUUUUUCUUUCUUCUGUUGGCAUUAUAUGAGAAACGAAUUAUCGCCGAAUAUAUUGUGAUUUUUAUUAUAAUAAAAUCUUUAUAAGAGAUGUCAAACCGUUUGCAUAAGCUUUAGUUCAAUGCACAUUACUCUUGUAUUGUUUGUACAUUAAUUGAAAGAUGGAACUUUUAACCCGAGGAUAAUCUGAAAUCUGCUGUAUACCCUGCUGGACAUUCAAUUUGUUUCUUAUCAGUCAAUGAUCAUGCCACUGUAAUUGUAGGCAGUUUGGGAUGAACUUUAGUUUAAAGGUUUUUCAACAUUCAUAAAAAUAAAUGUGCCGUCCGGAUAACUUAAUGAGUUUCAAUCUCAUUACCGUUCUAUAGCAGGUUGAAAUUUUCUAUAAUGUUCGCGUUUGUGCACUUGUUCAUUCCUCAGGAAAAGAGGUCAAUGGAGAAACCACGACUUUAUGUGAUAUGCAAAGCUGUCAUAACUCAACACCAAUACCCAUGACACCCUCACCUUUGUAAGCUUCUUCAUACAUGCCUCUCCUACCAAAUACACCAACAUGCUUACUCACAAUAGUCCACUCUUCAACUGAGACAUUUUUUGGAUAGAAGCCCUACAGGUUUAGGCUAAAGGCGUCACAUUGGACCCUAAAAAUAAUACAAACCACGUAAAAUAGUUUUUCGUCCCAAGACAUUAUAUGCUGGCAGUGUGCUUUAUUGAUUUUAACACUAAAAUUCAAAAGAUAAUAAAAAAAUGAUAUAAGCUUUAUAGUCCAAUAAUGUAAUCCUCUUUCAAUCAUGGUGUGUGCAAUAGACUUACAAUGUUUUUAUCACACAAGACUAUUUGGUCUCUCUAUAUAAGACUCUGUAUUUUAAGUUUAUCUACAACCUGGUUCAACAAAGGAUCUAUAACAUUACCUUAAACGCAAUAUGAGGUCGUUCAGCGUGAUUUUUUAACACAAAAUGAUGGGGUUGUCAAACCCCUCAUAUUGCAACAAAUAGGAGCACAUGCUAAAAUUUAUGAAGUAUAAGACCGAAUGUAUCAUUUUCCUCUUUUUAUCAAGAAAACCCAUUUGGAAAUAUCUAUUAAUAAGACUAAAUUAAUUCUAGACUAAAAAACAAAUUUGCUUAAUAAAUUAGAAAGCUAAGCAUAUUCCACAAAUAAAAGACAAUGAUAAAACUACAAAACAUAAUAAAGCUAAGUAAAAUUACUUGUAUACUCCGUUACUAUUUUCUCAAAAAGCUUCCAAUUUUACUUUGUAAACGAGAUUUGUGAUUCAAACCAUUUAUGU
rnacentral:lncRNA from 1 species